AACGAACGCUGGCGGCAUGCCUAACACAUGCAAGUCGAACGAGACCUUCGGGUCUAGUGGCGCACGGGUGCGUAACGCGUGGGAACCUGCCCUUAGGUUCGGAAUAACUCCCCGAAAGGGGUGCUAAUACCGGAUAAUGGCUUCGGACCAAAGAUUUAUCGCCUUUGGAUGGGCCCGCGUUGGAUUAGCUAGUUGGUAGGGUAAAAGCCUACCAAGGCGACGAUCCAUAGCUGGUCUGAGAGGAUGAUCAGCCACACUGGGACUGAGACACGGCCCAGACUCCUACGGGAGGCAGCAGUAGGGAAUAUUGGACAAUGGGCGAAAGCCUGAUCCAGCAAUGCCGCGUGAGUGAUGAAGGCCUUAGGGUUGUAAAGCUCUUUUACCCGGGAUGAUAAUGACAGUACCGGGAGAAUAAGCUCCGGCUAACUCCGUG
rnacentral:rRNA from 1 species